rnacentral:piRNA from 1 species
UGGUGGAUAUUCAAGUCGUCUGGUCUUU